UCUCUCUCUCCCCUCUCUCUCCAGGUGUUCUCCCUCCCUAAGGUGAGCGCUAAGACCAAGUUCAAGCUGACGGCUCAUGAGGGCUGCCGGGUGAGGAAGGUGGCGCUGGUGGUGUUCGGCUCCACGGCUCAGGAGGACUACAGCGAGCACACUCUGGUGUGUCUGACCAACCUGGGAGACAUGCACCUGUUCACCAUCCCCGGCCUGCGACCUCAGGUGCGCCACGACUGCAUCCGUAAAGAAGACAUCAGCGGCAUUGCAUCCUGUGUCUUUACCAAGAACGGACAGGGGUUCUACCUGGUCUCCCCCUCAGAGUACGAGAGGUUCUCCCUGUCGGCUAAAGUCGUCACAGAAGCGCUCUGCUCUGUUCAGCUGGACCGACCGCUGGAGCACACACCUGC